rnacentral:misc_RNA from 1 species
UCUCCGUUGGUGAACCAGCGGAGGGAUCAUUACAGGACUCGCAAGACUCCUACAACCCUGUGAACUUAACUAUAAGCACGUUGCUCCGGCGGGUGUCUCGGAGAGGGUUCUCCCUCCCCGGGGCGCUAAGCCCGCCGGCAGCCUACUAUACUCUGUCUCUUUGCGUUGGCAUCUCGAGUACAAACAAACAAGUUAAAACUUUCAACAACGGAUCUCUUGGUUCUG